rnacentral:rRNA from 1 species
AAUAGAUACCCGGGUAGUCCACGCCGUAAACGAUGUCGACUUGGAGGUUGUUCCCUUGAGGAGUGGCUUCCGGAGCUAACGCGUUAAGUCGACCGCCUGGGGAGUACGGCCGCAAGGUUAAAACUCAAAUGAAUUGACGGGGGCCCGCACAAGCGGUGGAGCAUGUGGUUUAAUUCGAUGCAACGCGAAGAACCUUACCUACUCUUGACAUCCAGAGAACUUAGCAGAGAUGCUUUGGUGCCUUCGGGAACUCUGAGACAGGUGCUGCAUGGCUGUCGUCAGCUCGUGUUGUGAAAUGUUGGGUUAAGUCCCGCAACGAGUACAACCCUUAUCCUUUGUUGCCGGCGGUUCGGCCGGGAACUCAAAGGAGACUGCCAGUGAUAAACUGGAGGAAGGUGGGGAUGACGUCAAGUCAUCAUGGCCCUUACGAGUAGGGCUACACACGUGCUACAAUGGCGUAUACAAAGAGAAGCGACCUCGCGAGAGCAAGCGGACCUCAUAAAGUACAUCGUAGUCCGGAUUGGAGUCUGCAACUCGACU